UGGUUAUUUGAAUGGUCCAACAAACCCUCCC
rnacentral:piRNA from 1 species